AGCUCUGUAAGCGUAUACCAAAGUUGUUGCAGUUAAAACGCUCGUAGUCGGAUUUUGGCGUGGUGCUUCUGAGACCCCUGCUUGGGUGUUGACGGUAGUCCCGCCUUUGUGGAUGAGGGCGUGGUGGUGCUUUGUUGCAUUGCUGCGUUUUCGCCACUGUUUACUGUGAAAAAAUUAGAGUGUUCAAAGCGAGCGAUUGCCAUGAAUAUAUUAGCAUGGAAUAAUAGAAUAGGACCUGAUCCUGUUUUGUUGGUUUGUCAGUAUUAGGUAAUGAUUAAGAGGGACGGUCGGGGGCAUUUGUAUUCCAGGGUUAGAGGUGAAAUUCUUGGAUCCUUGGAAGACAAACAGCUGCGAAAGCGUCUGCCAAGGACGUUUUCA
rnacentral:rRNA from 1 species